GACGAACGCUGGCGGCGUGGAUUAGGCAUGCAAGUCGAACGGUAGGAUACCUUCGGGUAUCUGAGAGUGGCGAACGGGUGAGUAACACGUAGGUGAUCUACCCUCAAGAUUGGGACAACCCAGGGAAACUUGGGCUAGUACCGGAUGAAAGCAGCAGUGAUGUUGUUUGAAAGGUGGCGUAAGCUGCCGUUUGGGGAUGAGCCUGCGCUCUAUUAGUUAGUUGGCGGGGUAAAGGCCCACCAAGGCGAUGAUAGAUAGGCGGCCUUAACGGGUGGUCGCCCACACUGGGAUUGAGAUACGGCCCAGACUCCUACGGGAGGCAGCAGUCGAGAAUAGUCUACAAUGGCCGAAAGGCUGAUAGUGCGACGCCGCGUGAACGAAGAAGCCCUUCGGGGUGUAAAGUUCUUUUAUAUGUGAGCAGUGCUUUCUAUGUGAACAGCAUGGGGAGAGAGAUAUUAGCAUAUGAAUAAGCAACGGCUAACUCCGUGCCAGC
rnacentral:rRNA from 1 species